GUAGCAUAAGGGUGGGACCAUAGAAGAGGAAAAUGUUUACAACCCAAUAAUUUCCAACCUGCUUGGAAGUAUUGCAUCUCUGAGUCAGAAUAUAUAGACGCCUGGUUGUCUGGCAUUAAAGAUGACAUUUAUUGAUACUGAUAAUCAGCAAUUUACUUUGUAACUGUAAGAAAGUCCAACAAUCUGAUCUUCAGGAUCUGAAUGUUGACUUAAUGGUGGAGGCACUGACUUUGAGAAAAGUGAAAGUCAAGAUGUUCAAACUUGGUUUGGAAACCAGGUGAAGGUAAUGUGUGAAAAAUGAUUCUAAGUGCAAUAGUGUGGAUGCCAGUGAAGGCCAUGUGAUGGUGAUAACUUCUGAUCAUGUCCUGGAAAACUAUGAUGAAUACCUAGAGCAAAGUGUCCUGUAACUCAUCAAGAGUAACAAACAAGACAAUACAGAAAAGAAACUGAGGAUCAAUACCAAAAAUCAAAUCAUGUUAUUGAAGUGAAGAAAGAAGCAAAGCCCAAGAUGGAGGAAAUGAUAGCAAUAUAUCACUAAGUCUCUUUCUGCUGAUACAGCUCUCCAACUCAGACAAAUUAAAACUAAGGGACUUGAAAGAAUGUGCUGAUUAGGUUGUUGAACCACUGUCGGUAACUUUAAGCAAAUUAUGGAAGUCUGUAAAGAUAUCAAAAAAUUGGAGAGGUGGAUUUCAGAAGUUGUAGCAGGUAAAAUUUAACCUCAAUGCUUCUAAAAAAUCAAGAAUGUAAUGUUGUAAAUGGUUUGUGUAUACUUAUAAGAGAUCUGGGAGGCAGCAAAGGCAUGUUGGAAACAACUCAUACCAAAGGAGUCUCAUUUCCAUUCUUGAUGGGGUAACUCGGUAGGUAGAAAAAGGAAUGCUCCAGAUAUUACAUCUCAACAAGUCAUUUGACAAAGUGUUUCAUAAUGUUCUAGUCAAUAGGAUGGGAAAUGAGAGCUGAAUACUAGAAUUAGGUGGAAUGAACAAGAGAACCCAAACAGUGUUAAUUUAUGUUACUCUGGAAAGAGUUAUUGAAUGUCGCACUAUGGAGCUCUGUUCACGAUCCUUUUCACUUUAGCAUUUUAAUUAUUUUUUAGAUGAAGAUACAGAAGGCAAGUUUAUCAUAUAUCUAAAAGGAAAAAGUUGGGAAAGGCAGUUAACAUUCUGAAUGAUUAACUCAAAAUUGUAAAAGAUGUUGAAUAUUUAUUUAGAACAAAAUAGAAGUUUACAAAAAUGCUAGAAAAAUGGUGGGAACUUUUGUUAAGAGCAGAGUUAAAAAAAAUAGACUAAACAUCCCCACCUAGAAAAAAGAGGAAAAGUAAAAAUGGCGUGCAAUGGAUACGAAGAAACUUAAUAGGAGCACAUGUCAAGUUCUGUAUUUAGUUUUGAAAAUCAGAGACCUGAGAGCAACACUUGAUAGCACUUCAUAGGGAAAAGAUCUAGGAAUUUUACUGAUGAUAAGCAGCCUUUGAAUCAACUAAUACAACAAAAUGAAACAAAACAAAAAAGCUAAUUCAAUCUUAGGUGGUACUAGUAAAAGCCUACUAUCCAGAUCUGUAAAAUCAGGGUAAUAAUAAUACCUUCCUUAUAAGAUUUUUGCAAGUAUUAAAUGAGACAAUUCCUGUAAAACACUUAGGAGUGGUUUAAGUGUAAGCAUUCAAUGCAUUUGUUUUAUUACUAAAAAGAUAUAUGAUAGUCCUACUUUACCUGUGCAAAAUCACAUCUAGAGGAGUAUGUCCAUGUAGGGGAUACUGAGCAGGGUAGAAAUACCAGAACAAAUGUGAGGACUAGAGAAAACUUGGAUGGAGAAGAUGAGUUAAUGGCAGUAUUCCAAAAUAUUAAGGGCUUGUAAGGAAGAAUUAGAUUUACCUUCAUGACUCCAAGUAUUACCAAUAGGAGAAAUAAGCAAAAUACACAGAGAGACUCAUUUUAGAACUAUGGGAACACAUUUCCUAAUAAUCAGAAUUAUUCAAUGUUGAAAUGGACUGUUCAGGAAGUGGUGAGUUUCUUGUCACUUGUGGUGUUUGGACAGAGGCUGAAUGAUUGCCUGGCAGGAAACUCCAUAAAGGACAUUCUUGCAUGGGAUGUAUCUAUACAUGAAUCCAUUUAUUAAGAUUGUUAUGAAACAAUUAGUUAAGAGAAAUCUACUAUGGGUCAACACUCCGAUAAACUCUAGUGGACAUCUAAGAUUCUUUCCAAGUCAAUGACUGCAUGAAUUUGAAGAAACGGGUAUAAGCAGUCCCUGACAUGGGAUUUUUCAAUUUCACAAUGGUGCAAAAGCAAUACACAUUCAGUAGGAAUGGCACUUAGAAUUUUGAAUUCCGGCCUUUUUCCAGGCUAGCAACAUGAAGUAAGAUACUCCUGUGAUGCUGGGCAAUGGCAGCCAGCCACAGCUUCAAAUCAGUCACUCGAUCAUGAGACUAAACAACAGAUCUGUAGGCUAUUGUAAGCUUUCUUAACAUGUUUAACAUAGGCUAGGUUUGAUAGUUUAGGUGCAUUAAAUGAAUUGACUUUCAAUAUUUUCAACUUACAAUGGGUUUACUGAGAUGUAAACUUAUUAUAAGUCAAGGAGUAACUGUAUCUUCAGCUUUUGGAGAGGAUUGCUAAGGGCCAUGCAGAGGUUAUUUUUCUUAGAACUUAACCUCUGCUCCUUACUCGUAAUAGCUCCUACAUCGCUUACUGCAAAAGUAAACACCUGCUAAACUAUUCCAUGCUCUGCCCUAGACACCAAUGCCUCAUGAAUCACAUCAAAUAGAAGUCUUUACCAUUUGAGCAGCAUGACUAUUUUUUUUUUUUUCUCUCAACUCAGCUGCAAUGCUAGAGGGGCUGUCCACAGUUUCCAAUUCGGGCUUUGCUGCCACUGCGUGAUGCUUCAUGUUGAAGUGGCAUUUUCUUUUCAAUGUAAACAUUUUUAGAAACACUGUGAGGAGAUUUCAGUGUAACAAAUGUACCAGAAUAGCUGUGUCUAGCCUGCUGGGUGAAAUCCUUUUUUUGAAAUAAUGUUGGAACAAAGAAAUUCAUUCUCUAUAAAAGAGAUAGCUAGUUAAUAAAUCAUAUAAACAGUAUUCACACCCUGUGUUCCAGACGAGGUGCUCUCCCUGCUACUGUCAGCAACAUUUGCUGCCAAGUCCACUAACUACUUUACCCUGACCUUGAGUGGGUAAACAAUAUAAUCUUCCAUGCUGCAUCUCAUUAGCAUCUGCUAGUCAAGAAAAUUAUGUCUGUUUCAUAAUUACAUCACGAAAGCAUCUUGCUGUACUAGAACAGCAAAGCAUUUGAAUUAGAAAAUGCACUUGUCCAAGAUUUUCAAGCCAGUAUGACAAUUGCCAUCAUUUUACUUGUUAUGUAUGUCCUGCAUAGAAUAUGGUCUGACGUUAGAGUGGGAAGAGAAGGUAUAAACUGGUCACAAUCUUCCAUAUUUAUUUUAAUGUUUUACACUCAUCUUAAUUUUGUCAAAUGUAUUUUUUUAAAAUUUCUAA